GUGGAUGGUGUGAAAGUUACUGGAAAUUAGAGAAUUAAUACAACAUUUGCAAGUUAAUACAACAGCUAGCCAAAGCAUUGUUCAGCAAAUUUAUCUGCAACUGAUAAAAGAGAGACCCCGAGUGCCUUCGAAAAAUAUUGUAUUUCUUAGUGCAGCUAGACCCAAAGCUUUUUCCUAUGGUUACAUCUGCAAGGUAAAACGCUCACAGCUGACAGGCUAAGUAGGCGGGGGAUACAAGUGAAUCCUUUGUGUGUUUUGUGCAAAACUCAUAACGAGUCCAGAGAGCAUCUUUUCGUCUAUUGCCCUUUCUCUUUGCCAAUCUGGAACAAGUUAUUACACUGGACAAAAAGACACAAUUUGUUACUGUCGAUUGGAAUCAACAUAUUGAAUGGGUCAUAAAUAGUGCUAAAGGGAAAUCGCAAACAGCGCAGUUCUUCAAAUUGGUGUAUACUGAAGCUUUUUAUGCCAUUUGGCUUGAGCGGAAUCAAAGGAGUUUUUAAGAGAAGUGUCAGGAUUGAUAUAGUGUAGCCAGAAGUGUUGUUGUUAUGUGAAAUAUGAGAGCCUCUAGGAAUAUCAGGAACUAUGUUCACCAGCUCUUGUUUUAAUUUCUGCAUUAGAAUACAGGUUAGGCCUGUAGUAGUAUUUUCUAAUUUGAGAGAUAGUCCGAUUGAGGUGAUUGGUUAUUGCUUUGUAAUGUUUCACUUACUGAUUAAUAUAAUCAUUUAGUUACCAAAAAAAAACUCCAAAACUGAGAAAUGAUUCUAAAAUCCAAAUGAACUUUCCUAGAACUGAACCGAUGGCCCGGCAAGUCAUAAAUGACCUUUAGCUGCUAUGAGAAAAUGCGAAAUCCAGAAAACAUGUGGAAUGGAGAAAAUGACCUAGAGGGUCAUUACAAAAUACUGUAUUUACUAAUAUGAAAAUUUAAGUAGUUUAAUUUAAAGUUCUAAAUAUUUUCCUAUUGAAGAAUAGAAAGUCUUUGUUUCAUUUUAACAAAAUUUUUGUAUUUUCUUUUUUAUUUUUCAGCAAACUUUAAUAUUGUCUAAAUUAAUUAAAAUAAAAUCAUAACAUUUCGUAUAAAAAAUUUUUGGGGCCUAUAUAGGCUUUGUCAUAUCUCCUAGUUCCAGCAGAACCAUUCUGCUUGAUUUUACCUCUUCUUUUGUUAACCUUCCUCCUUGCUUUCCAAAG
rnacentral:lncRNA from 1 species